GUCGAGCGAACAGAUGAGAAGCUUGCUUCUCUGAUGUUAGCGGCGGACGGGUGAGUAACACGUGGGUAACCUACCUAUAAGACUGGGAUAACUCCGGGAAACCGGGGCUAAUACCGGAUAAUAUUUUGAACCGCAUGGUUCAAUAGUGAAAGACGGUUUCGGCUGUCACUUAUAGAUGGACCCGCGCCGUAUUAGCUAGUUGGUAAGGUAACGGCUUACCAAGGCGACGAUACGUAGCCGACCUGAGAGGGUGAUCGGCCACACUGGAACUGAGACACGGUCCAGACUCCUACGGGAGGCAGCAGUAGGGAAUCUUCCGCAAUGGGCGAAAGCCUGACGGAGCAACGCCGCGUGAGUGAUGAAGGUCUUCGGAUCGUAAAACUCUGUUGUUAGGGAAGAACAAAUUUGUUAGUAACUGAACAAGUCUUGACGGUACCUAACCAGAAAGCCACGGCUAACUACGUGCCAGCAGCCGCGGUAAUACGUAGGUGGCAAGCGUUAUCCGGAAUUAUUGGGCGUAAAGCGCGCGUAGGCGGUUUCUUAAGUCUGAUGUGAAAGCCCACGGCUCAACCGUGGAGGGUCAUUGGAAACUGGGAAACUUGAGUGCAGAAGAGGAGAGUGGAAUUCCAUGUGUAGCGGUGAAAUGCGCAGAGAUAUGGAGGAACACCAGUGGCGAAGGCGGCUCUCUGGUCUGUAACUGACGCUGAUGUGCGAAAGCGUGGGGAUCAAACAGGAUUAGAUACCCUGGUAGUCCACGCCGUAAACGAUGAGUGCUAAGUGUUAGGGGGUUUCCGCCCCUUAGUGCUGCAGCUAACGCAUUAAGCACUCCGCCUGGGGAGUACGACCGCAAGGUUGAAACUCAAAGGAAUUGACGGGGACCCGCACAAGCGGUGGAGCAUGUGGUUUAAUUCGAAGCAACGCGAAGAACCUUACCAAAUCUUGACAUCCUUUGACCGCUCUAGAGAUAGAGUCUUCCCCUUCGGGGGACAAAGUGACAGGUGGUGCAUGGUUGUCGUCAGCUCGUGUCGUGAGAUGUUGGGUUAAGUCCCGCAACGAGCGCAACCCUUAAGCUUAGUUGCCAUCAUUAAGUUGGGCACUCUAGGUUGACUGCCGGUGACAAACCGGAGGAAGGUGGGGAUGACGUCAAAUCAUCAUGCCCCUUAUGAUUUGGGCUACACACGUGCUACAAUGGAUAAUACAAAGGGCAGCGAAUCCGCGAGGCCAAGCAAAUCCCAUAAAAUUAUUCUCAGUUCGGAUUGUAGUCUGCAACUCGACUACAUGAAGCUGGAAUCGCUAGUAAUCGUAGAUCAGCAUGCUACGGUGAAUACGUUCCCGGGUCUUGUACACACCGCCCGUCACACCACGAGAGUUUGUAACACCCGAAGCCCGGUGGAGUAACCUUUUAGGAGCUAGCCGU
rnacentral:rRNA from 2 species